GCAUGAACUUAGCUUGCUAAGUUUGAUGGCGACCGGCGCACGGGUGAGUAACACGUAUCCAACCUGCCGAUGACUCGGGGAUAGCCUUUCGAAAGAAAGAUUAAUACCCGAUGGCAUAGUUCUUCCGCAUGGUAGAACUAUUAAAGAAUUUCGGUCAUCGAUGGGGAUGCGUUCCAUUAGGUUGUUGGCGGGGUAACGGCCCACCAAGCCUUCGAUGGAUAGGGGUUCUGAGAGGAAGGUCCCCCACAUUGGAACUGAGACACGGUCCAAACUCCUACGGGAGGCGGCAGUGAGGAAUAUUGGUCAAUGGACGAGAGUCUGAACCAGCCAAGUAGCGUGAAGGAUGACUGCCCUAUGGGUUGUAAACUUCUUUUAUACGGGAAUAAAGUGAGGCACGUGUGCCUUUUUGUAUGUACCGUAUGAAUAAGGAUCGGCUAACUCCGUGCCAGCAGCCGCGGUAAUACGGAGGAUCCGAGCGUUAUCCGGAUUUAUUGGGUUUAAAGGGAGCGUAGGCGGACGCUUAAGUCAGUUGUGAAAGUUUGCGGCUCAACCGUAAAAUUGCAGUUGAUACUGGGUGUCUUGAGUACAGUAGAGGCAGGCGGAAUUCGUGGUGUAGCGGUGAAAUGCUUAGAUAUCACGAAGAACUCCGAUUGCGAAGGCAGCCUGCUGGACUGUAACUGGCGCUGAUGCUCGAAAGUGU
rnacentral:rRNA from 1 species